GCCGGGGUGGCGAAAUUGGUGAGACGCGCCUGACUUAAAAUCAGGUGUCCCCGCGUGGGGCAUGCGGGUUCGAAUCCCGCCCCCGGCA
rnacentral:tRNA from 1 species